rnacentral:rRNA from 1 species
AACGAACGCUGGCGGCGUGCCUAACACAUGCAAGUCGGACGAGAAAGUUCCCUUCGGGGAGCGAGUACAGUGGCGCACGGGUGAGUACACGUAGACAACCUGCCUUGCAGUCCGGGACAACCUUUCGAAAGAAGGGCUAAUACCGGAUAACACUUUGGGUCGCAUGACCUGGGGUUGAAAGAUUCAUCGCUGCAAGAGGGGUCUGCGGGACAUUAGCUAGUUGGCGGGGUAACGGCCCACCAAGGCGACGAUGUCUAGCGGGUCUGAGAGGAUGAUCCGCCACACUGGAACUGAGACACGGUCCAGACUCCUACGGGAGGCAGCAGUGGGGAAUUUUGCGCAAUGGGCGAAAGCCUGACGCAGCAACGCCGCGUGAGUGAAGAAGGCCUUCGGGUCGUAAAGCUCUUUUCUGAGGGAAGAGAAUGGCGGUACCUCAGGAAUAAGCGACGGCUAACUCUGUGC